UGGGCGAUCUACUAAACCAUAUGAAUCCCUAAUGAGAAACCGUAUUCUUAACAAGCAAACUACUCAGACAUAUUGAUUGA
rnacentral:sRNA from 1 species